UGCUCCAGUCUGAUCAUUCCUGGCCACCUGAUAAUCUCUUUGUGCAAACACCAGGAAGCCCUAGUUAGAGGUGUGGACACCAGGUGUUCUUGAGGAGGACAGUGGUGACUCAGUUUUAUCUGACCCCAUGCUCUCAAGUUCCUUUUCUGCGAGACACUUCUUAUGUGCUACUUUGGACCCUCUCAUUUAUCUGUGGGCCAUUGGCCACUGGCCCCAGCCACAGCUGAGACCACCAACUCUGCAUGGACUCAGACAGGCGCCACCCAGGCACACCCAGCAGCCCCUGCCUCAGGUCCCAGCCAGGCACCCCUUAGGCUUGCCUGGACACUAGGAUGGGAGACACUGUAUCCAUCCAUCCACGACCAGCAAGUAGAGGCAAUUAAUACCCUUCAGGCGACCCAACGCAAGCUGGGAGCCUGUGCACAAAUUAUUCUCCCUUUCUCCGAAAAGGAUUGUGCUGAGAAACAUUUGUACAGCUUCCCAGAGGAUGGUCCUUGGGAUCGAGCAAGCAGUUAUGUUUGUUACCAAGCCGUGGCCAGCUCCAUAACACACCCUGGAGUUGGCGCCACUUCCUUCCCAGCUACACUCCCCUUUCUCUCACACCUGCUCCCUGGGGUCACCUCCCUACCAAAGGAGGGGCACAGGAGCCUUUGUUUCCCACUCUGCUUUCCAAGAAACCCAAACCAAGCCACUCUGAGUUCCUUCCAGAGCUCCACUUCCACUUCACGGGAUCCUCUUAGUACCACAGUCAGCGCCCAACAUGCCUCUGAGAUGGGCAUGUGAUCCCGGCUGGCCAGUCAGCGCCUUAUUCCUCUGGCCACAGAACUUGGCUCAGGAACUGACAUGUGACCAAUCUGAAUUUUCCCUGGGGACUGAUACGUGGACACCAGGGACCUCAUGCACCAGUAGGGUCGCUGCCUUCCUUCUCUGCGAGAGAUGAUUCUGUCUCAUCCAAUCAAGACUUGAGUGGACUCCAGCUUCCCAGAAAGCCUUUCUCCAUCAUCCCAGCCCCACGGGAUCUUACCUGCUUCACUGGUAACACCCAGAAUCCUCAGCACAACUGCUACCACCAGAAAUACGUGUCAGAUUCUUGAAAACCUUAAAAGCAACCGCUAUUAAAAAUAUGAUGUCUACCUUCAAAAUUACUACAGAAGAUGAAAAGAAACAAAACCAACUACAUAGCAAAGGAGUGAAUAUAACAGGAAAAGAAACAGCAUAGAAAUUACAACAGCCAGCCAUCACAUCACAAAAAUAUGUAUUACAUAAGGAGUAAAAGACGACAUAAAAGAGACAAAAUACCAGCUUCAUAGCGAAGAGUAGGUGAAGGUAAGAAAAGAGAUUUAAAAUAUAAUUCUCCAAAGCUUGGCAAGCUAUCAAUAGAGUCAAGAAGUUAAAAACUUAAAUAUUUUCCAAAUUGAAUAUUUAGGUUAAAUUACCUUGUCUAUCUUAAUGGGACAAAAGGAAGAGAAGAUUCACAGUAGAAACCAAAAAUGAAAAAACUGUAAUAUCACAAUAUAGAAAACAGAGGGGCAACCUCACAGAGGUUUAUGCAAAUAUUAUAAGCAAUUGUUAAUACUCCCUAUAUUAAUCUAUUAAAACCAACCAUCAAUUUAAAAAAAAAACAAAAUUCGAUCAUCUUUUGUCAAGGAAA